GAUGGAGGCUUCAAAUUUUAAAUGGACGUAGGAGGAAUUUGAAUUUCAAAUAUUGACAACAUGUUGAAAUUUUUUUUUACGUAUAUUUUUUUGUUUGUAUUAUUUUUUUUGAUAAAUUUGAAUAAAUUUUUUUAAUAAAAAAAUUAUUUGUAAUAAUUUAUCCAAUAAAAAAAUUUUUAAUAUCCCUUCAAAUAUCAAAAA
rnacentral:lncRNA from 1 species